rnacentral:misc_RNA from 1 species
GAUGAAGAACGCAGCGAAAUGCGAUACGUAAUGUGAAUUGCAGAAUUCAGUGAAUCAUCGAGUCUUUGAACGCACAUUGCGCCCGCGAGUAUUCUCGCGGGCAUGCCUGUCCGAGCGUCAUUUCAACCCUCAGGGCCCGCCUGCUUGCAGGCGCGGCGCUGGUGUUGGGGAUCGGCUACCCUGCCGUCCCCCAAAUACAGUGGCGGUCUCGCUGCAGCCUCCCCUGCGUAGUAGCAACACUCGCAUGCGGAGCGCGGCGCGGCCACGCCGUAAAACCCCCGACUUUCUGAACGUUGACCUCGGAUCAGGUAGGAAUACCCGCUGAACUUAAGCAUAUCAAUAAGCGGAGGA